ensembl:rRNA 5S_rRNA 5S ribosomal RNA
UCUUAAAAUGUCACCAGGACCCUGAACACACCCGAUCUUGUCUGAUCUUAGAAGCUGAGCAGAGUCGGGCCUGGUUAGUACUUGGAUGGGAGACCACCUAGGAAGACCAGGUGCUGUAGGUG